AUUUCUACAAUAUCAUCCAGCUGUUUAGGUCUGUUGAAAAGUUUGGGGUUAUUCAGCAACCAUAGUUGGACAGCUUUGAGACUGAUAGAAGCAUCAAUAACAGGGCGCUUAUAAGAACAAAUGUGCUUCAAUGCAACCAGAUUAACAUCCACAGGUUGGCUUCUCAGUAAAUCAAAGAAACUGUCAGACAGUUGAUGUUGAUUGAAUAUUCCUUUAUGCAUGACAGCAUUCACCAGGAACAUUACGUCAAAAGCAAUCCCUUCCUUGUGAUGAAUACAAAAGAA
rnacentral:misc_RNA from 1 species